rnacentral:tRNA from 1 species
GUUCAUAUAGUUUAGGCAAGAACAAUAGAUUUUCUUUCUAUGGGCCCUCAAAGAGGUAUGAAUU